rnacentral:rRNA from 1 species
AGCGAACGCUGGCGGCAGGCCUAACACAUGCAAGUCGAGCGCCCCUCCUUCAGAGGACAGAAGACGGACGACAGAGAACUGAUGAUUCCCCAAUGCCCGAUGGGCUGCGGAUCCCGAUGCUGUCGCGCCGAGACGGACGAUCUGUCGUCCGUCGUCUGAUGUCUGUCCUCUGAUGGAGGGGAGCGGCAGACGGGAGAGUAACACGUAGGGAUCUCCCCUCGAGCCCGGAAUAACCUACCGAAAGGUGGGCUAAUACCGGAUAUGACCACGGGAGUUUCGGCUCCUGUGGUGAAAGAUGGCCUCUACCUGUAAGCUAUCACUCAAGG